AAACAGGAACUCUAACAUUGAAUUGACUGACUGUUGACAAAAGUAUUAUUGAGGUCUUUGCUAGAGGAGUAGAUGGAGAGGCUGUAGUUUUGAUGGCUGCUAGAGCCUCAAGAGUGGAAAACCAAGAUGCAAUAGACGCUGCUAUUGUCGGGACGUUGGCUGAUCCAAAAGAGGCACAGGCUGGCAUUCAAGAGGUUCACUUCCUUCCAUUUAACCCCACUGAUAAGCGAAUAG